rnacentral:rRNA from 1 species
UACAGAGGGGGCGAGCGUUGUUCGGAAUUACUGGGCGUAAAGGGCGCGUAGGCGGCCUUCUAAGUCGAACGUGAAAUCCCCGGGCUCAACCCGGGAACUGCGUCCGAUACUGGGAGGCUUGAAUCCGGGAGAGGGAUGUGGAAUUCCAGGUGUAGCGGUGAAAUGCGUAGAUAUCGGAAGGAACAUCGAUGGCGAAGGCAGCUUUCUGGACAAAUACUGACACUGAGGCACGAAAGCGUGGGGAGCAAACAGG